GUGAGGAAUAUUGGUCAAUGGACGAGAGUCUGAACCAGCCAAGUCGCGUGAAGGAAGACGGUUCUAUGAAUUGUAAACUUCUUUUGUGCAGGAAUAAAGUGGGUUACGUGUAACCUUUUGUAUGUACUGUACGAAUAAGGAUCGGCUAACUCCGUGCCAGCAGCCGCGGUAAUACGGAGGAUCCGAGCGUUAUCCGGAUUUAUUGGGUUUAAAGGGUGCGUAGGUGGAUUGAUAAGUCAGCGGUGAAAGUUUGCAGCUUAACUGUAAAAUUGCCGUUGAAACUGUCGGUCUUGAGUGCAAAUGAGGUAGGCGGAAUGUGUUGUGUAGCGGUGAAAUGCUUAGAUAUUACAUGGAAUACCAAUUGCGAAGGCAGGUUACUACUUGUGGAUUGACGCUGAUGGACGAAAGCGUGGGGAGCGAACAGGAUUAGAAACCCCGGUAGUCC
rnacentral:rRNA from 1 species